rnacentral:lncRNA from 1 species
AAUAAUCUUGGAAAUGAGAAGUGCCAAUGCAAAUACAACUGCAUAUCAAAUAUCAUUGAUGUAGAACUGGUGGUUACCCAUAAACCAAUCUAAUCACAAACUUAUACACACGGUGAAAUGUCUCGCCUUCUUUACUAAUUAUUGAUAUUAUGUUGAUAGUCUUUAAUGUAAAGCUUUAUUACAACUGUCACAUAAACUCUAACCAAGAAAACUAAACAUUGACCAAUGAACCAUAAUAAUGAGGUAAAGGUCAGGCAUGUACAGCUUAC